rnacentral:rRNA from 1 species
UACGGAGGGUGCGAGCGUUGUCCGGAAUCAUUGGGCGUAAAGGGCGCGUAGGUGGCCCGGUCAGUUCGUGGUGAAAGCGCGGGCUCAACCCUGCGUCGGCCAUGAAUACUGCCGCGGCUGGAGCACUGUAGAGGCAGGCGGAAUUCCGGGUGUAGCGGUGGAAUGCGUAGAGAUCCGGAAGAACACCGGUGGCGAAGGCGGCCGCU